rnacentral:rRNA from 1 species
UACAGAGGGUGCGAGCGUUAAUCGGAAUUACUGGGCGUAAAGCGCACGUAGGUGGCUGUGUAAGUCGGGUGUGAAAUCCCCGGGCUCAACCUGGGAACUGCAUUCGAGACUGCAUAGCUGGAGUACGGAAGAGGAGGGCGGAAUUCCCGGUGUAGCGGUGAAAUGCGUAGAUAUCGGGAGGAACAUCAGUGGCGAAGGCGGCCCUCUGGUCCAGUACUGACACUCAAGUGCGAAAGCGUGGGGAGCAAACAGG